ACACAUGCAGUCGAGGGGUAACAGAUCUUCGGAUGCUGACGACCGGCGAACGGGUGAGUAACACGUAUGCAACUUACCCAUAACUCGGGAAUAGCCCAAAGAAAUUUGGAUUAAUACCCAAUAAUACAGGCGUACCGCAUGGUAUUCUUCGUUAAAGAAUAAUCGGUUAUGGAUAGGCAUGCGUUCUAUUAGGUAGUUGGUGAGGUAACGGCUCACCAAGCCGACGAUGGAUAGGGGAACUGAGAGGUUGUCCCCCCACACUGGUACUGAGACACGGACCAGACUCCUACGGGAGGCAGCAGUGAGGAAUAUUGGUCAAUGGACGAAAGUCUGAACCAGCCAAAUCGCGUGAAGGAAGAAGGUAUUAUGUAUCGUAAACUUCUUUUGUAAGAGAGUAAAGUGCACUACGUGUAGUGUAUUGCAAGUACCUUACGAAUAAGCAUCGGCUAAUUCCGUGCCAGCAGCCGCGGUAAUACGGAAGAUGCAAGUGUUAUCCGGAUUUAUUGGGUUUAAAGGGUGCGUAGGUGGUCUAAUAAGUCAGUGGUGAAAUCUCUUUGCUUAACAAGGAAAUUGCCAUUGAAACUGUUAGACUUGAGAAUGGACGAGGUAGGCGGAAUUCGUAGUGUAGCGGUGAAAUGCAUAGAUAUUACGAAGAACUCCAAUAGUGUAGACUGCUUACCAGACCAUAUCUGACACUAAAGCACGAAAGUGUGGGUAUCAAACAGGAUUAGAUACCCUGGUAGUCCACACAGUAAACGAUGAAUACUAACUGUUUGCGAUAUACAGCAAGUGGUCGAGCGAAAGCGUUAAGUAUUCCACCUGGGAAGUAUGCCGGCACGGUGAAACUCAAGGAAUUGACGGGGCCCGCACAAGCGAGAACAUGUGGUUUAAUCGAUAUACGCGAGAACUUACCCGGGCUCGACGAUAUUGAUACAUCCGA
rnacentral:rRNA from 1 species